rnacentral:rRNA from 1 species
UACGGAGGAUGCAAGCGUUAUCCGGAAUGAUUGGGCGUAAAGCGUCUGUAGGUGGUUUAUUAAGUCUACUGUUAAAGAUCAGGGCUUAACCCUGAGCCGGCAGUGGAAACUAAUAAGCUUGAGUACGGUAGGGGCAGAGGGAAUUCCCGGUGUAGCGGUGAAAUGCGUAGAGAUCGGGAAGAACACCAAUGGCGAAAGCACUCUGCUGGGCCGAAACUGACACUGAGACGCGAAAGCGUGGGGAGCGAACAGG